rnacentral:rRNA from 1 species
CCAAUGGCGUAUAUUAAAGUUGUUGCAGUUAAAAAGCUCGUAGUUGAAUUUUAGGCCUGGCCGGAUGGUCCGUCUUUGGCGAGUACUGUUCUGUCGUCGGGUCUAUCCUUCUGGUGAGCCGGGAUGCCCUUUAUUGGGUGUGUCGGGGAACCAGGACCAUUACCUUGAAAAAAUUAGAGUGUUUAAAGCGGGCAUUUGCUUGAAUAGAUUAGCAUGGAAUAAUAGAAUAGGACGUUGGUUCUAUUUUGUUGGUUUUAGGACCACCGUAAUGAUUAAUAGGGAUAGUUGGGGGCAUUAGUAUUCAAUUGUCAGAGGUGAAAUUCUUGGAUUUAUUGAAGACUAACUAUUGCGAAAGCAUUUGCCAAGGAUGUUUUCAUUAAUCAAGAACGAAAGUUAGGGGAUCGAAGACGAUCAGAUACCGUCGUAGUCUUAACCAUAAACUAUGCCGACUAGGAAUCGGGCGACGUUAUUUCAUGACUCGCUCGGCGCCUUAUG